GCAUUAAUGGGGUAGUGGUAACCUGGGUCGUUGCCAUUGACUAUGAGUCGCAUGCUGCCUCGACCCGCCGGGGGUUCGAUUCCCCCUUAAUGCA